rnacentral:rRNA from 1 species
AGAGUUUGAUCCUGGCUCAGGAUGAACUCUGGCGGCAUGCCUAACACAUGCAAGUCGAACGGGGUUUAUAUAACGGAACUCUUCGGAGGGAAGAUAUAUAAACCUAGUGGCGGACGGGUGAGUAACGCGUGGGCAACCUGCCCUGUACCGGGGGACAACAGCCAGAAAUGGCUGCUAAUACCGCAUAAGCCUGCUGUGCCGCAUGGCACAGCAGGGAAAACCACGGUGGUACAGGAUGGGCCCGCGUCUGAUUAGUUAGUUGGCAGGGUAACGGCCUACCAAGACAACGAUCAGUAGCCGGCUUGAGAGAGUGGACGGCCACAUUGGGACUGAGACACGGCCCAGACUCCUGCGGGAGGCAGCAGUGGGGAAUAUUGCACAAUGGGGGGAACCCUGAUGCAGCAAUGCCGCGUGGGUGAAGAAGCACUCCGGUGCGUAAAGCCCUGUCAGCAGGGAAGAAAAUGACAGUACCUGACCAAGAAGCCCCGGCUAACUACGUGCCAGCAGCCGCGGUAAUACGUAGGGGGCAAGCGUUAUCCGGAUUUACUGGGUGUAAAGGGAGCGUAGGCGGCGUGGCAAGUCAGAUGUGAAAACCCGGGGCCCAACCCCGGGAGUGCAUUUGAAACUGCCAUGCUGGAGUGCCGGAGAGGUAAGUGGAAUUCCUAGUGUAGCGGUGAAAUGCGUAGAUAUUAGGAGGAACACCAGUGGCGGAGGCGGCUUACUGGACGGUAACUGACGCUGAGGCUCGAAAGCGUGGGGAGCAAACAGGAUUAGAUACCCUGGUAGUCCACGCCGUAAACGAUGA